CCUACGGGAGGCAGCAGUGGGGAAUAUUGGGCAAUGGAGGAAACUCUGACCCAGCAACGCCGCGUGAAUGAUGAAGGUCUUCGGAUUGUAAAGUUCUUUUCUAAGGGAAGAAGAAAGUGACGGUACCUUAGGAAUAAGCCUCGGCUAACUACGUGCCAGCAGCCGCGGUAAUACGUAGGAGGCAAGCGUUAUCCGGAAUGACUGGGCGUAAAGGGUGCGUAGGUGGUUUGAUAAGUUGGUAGCGUAACUCCGAGGCUCAACCUCGGCACUACUACCAAAACUGUCGGACUUGAGUGCAGGAGAGGCAAGUGGAAUUCGUGGUGUAGCGGUGGAAUGCGUAGAUAUUAGGAGGAACACCAGUGGCGAAGGCGAGUUGCUGGACUGCAACUGACACUGAGGCACGAAAGCGUGGGGAGCAAACAGGAUUAGAUACCCGAGUAGUC
rnacentral:rRNA from 1 species